GUAUCUCUGAAGAGUGCCAUACUAGGACGAAACAGCUGUCCAGUAC
rnacentral:hammerhead_ribozyme from 1 species